UGAGGUCUGCGCAGGCCCCAACCUAUCCAUGGUUUGGGGCUGCUAUCUGCCUCAUAAAGCAAAGUGGAGGGUUUGUCUUUUGGAAAAACAAAGUCGUUUUCUCCUCUGAAAAAGCCUCCUACAUAG